UACGUAGGGUGCGAGCGUUGUCCGGAAUUAUUGGGCGUAAAGGGCUCGUAGGCGGUUUGUCGCGUCGGGAGUGAAAACACCGGGCUUAACUCGGUGCUUGCUUUCGAUACGGGCAGACUAGAGGCAUGCAGGGGAGACUGGAAUUCCUGGUGUAGCGGUGAAAUGCGCAGAUAUCAGGAGGAACACCGGUGGCGAAGGCGGGUCUCUGGGCAAUAACUGACGCUGAGGAGCGAAAGCGUGGGGAGCGAACAGG
rnacentral:rRNA from 1 species